rnacentral:rRNA from 1 species
CGCGUAGGCGGCCUCUUAAGUCAGAUGUGAAAGCCCGGGGCUUAACCCCGGAAGUGCAUUUGAAACUAAGUGGCUUGAGUAUGGGAGAGGGAAGUGGAAUUCCUGGUGUAGAGGUGAAAUUCGUAGAUAUCAGGAGGAACACCAGUGGCGAAGGCGACUUCCUGGACCAAUACUGACGCUGAGGCGCGAAGGCGUGGGGAGCAAACA